rnacentral:rRNA from 1 species
GAGUUUGAUCCUGGCUCAGAUUGAACGCUGGCGGCAUGCCUUACACAUGCAAGUCGAACGGCAGCACGGGGGCAACCCUGGUGGCGAGUGGCGAACGGGUGAGUAAUACAUCGGAACGUGUCCUGUAGUGGGGGAUAGCCCGGCGAAAGCCGGAUUAAUACCGCAUACGAUCUACGGAAGAAAGCGGGGGAUCCUUCGGGACCUCGCGCUAUAGGGGCGACCGAUGACAGAUUAGCUAGUUGGUGGGGUAAAGGCCUACCAAGGCGACGAUCUGUAGCUGGUCUGAGAGGACGACCAGCCACACUGGGACUGAGACACGGCCCAGACUCCUACGGGAGGCAGCAGUGGGGAAUUUUGGACAAUGGGGGAAACCCUGAUCCAGCAAUGCCGCGUGUGUGAAGAAGGCCUUCGGGUUGUAAAGCACUUUUGUCCGGAAAGAAAACUUCUGCCCUAAUACGGUGGGAGGAUGACGGUACCGGAAGAAUAAGCACCGGCUAACUACGUGCCAGCAGCCGCGGUAAUACG